GUCGAAACGACUCUCUGCAACGGAUAUUCGGCUCUCGCAUCGAUGAAGAACGUAGCGAAAUGCGAUACUUGGUUGAAUGCAGAAUUCCGUGAACCAUCGUUGCAAGUUGCGCCCGCAUGGAGCACGUCUGCCUGCGUCACGCUGCGUCGC
rnacentral:rRNA from 1 species